GGAGGAAGUAAUGACCGCAGCCCUGAGAGGAUCACCGGGACAGGCACCUAGGCUUCCGAAGUUGAAAGCUUCUUUGGCAGAACCUGUGGCAUGGAACCUGAACUAUCCUGUAUCCUUGCCUUGGCUAAUGAGCCCAUGGAGAGAGCCCAUGGAGAGAGGUGGAGAGGAACGAGGACCUCUUCCUGGAAGGUGCCUUCAGAAUGCAGAAGAGCCGAGCUUUUGGUCGAAUUGCUUCCAGACAAGCAACUGUUCCAAAUCUCCCUACACGUGUUUACAUUUUGGAAACAAGUGUCAGAACUGGAGAUGUUUCAGAAUGUUGAGAUACUGUGAUACUCGGGUAAAUAAAUGUACAAACAAGCCGCUCCAAGAGUAUGUUAUGAUUGACAAGGGGACUAAAUUUGUAUGGUGAACUGGCUCAGAAGAUGGGUAAGAAAUCCUAAAUUAUGAUGGGUCAGGUCUGCAAUACUAGAGUAAGAUCGUAGCCUCUGGAAGGUGACACUUAGGAAUGACAGCAUCUGUUUGCUGAUAAAAACCUUAGGCGUAUCUGUCUUAGAAAUAAAUACCUAUUAAUAUACUUCUAAGAUCUGUGUAUGAGUAUACAUGCACAUAUUUAGUAGUCUUAAGAUUUCA
ensembl:lincRNA